UACGGAGGGUGCAAGCGUUAUCCGGAUUCACUGGGUUUAAAGGGUGCGUAGGUGGGCAGUUAAGUCAGUGGUGAAAUCUCCGGGCUCAACCCGGAAACUGCCAUUGAUACUAUCUGUCUUGAAUACCGUGGAGGUAAGCGGAAUAUGUCAUGUAGCGGUGAAAUGCUUAGAUAUGACAUAGAACACCAAUUGCGAAGGCAGCUACUACCCGAAUAUGACACUCGAGGCACUGAAAGCGUGGGGAUCAAACAGGAAUUAGAUUACCC
rnacentral:rRNA from 1 species